UACGGGGGGGGCAAGCGUUGUUCGGAAUUACUGGGCGUAAAGGGCUCGUAGGCGGCCAACUAAGUCAGACGUGAAAUCCCUCGGCUUAACCGGGGAACUGCGUCUGAUACUGGAUGGCUUGAAUCCGGGAGAGGGAUGCGGAAUUCCAGGUGUAGCGGUGAAAUUCGUAGAUAUCGUAAGGAAGACCAGUGGCGAAGGCGGGUCUCUGGACAGUUCCUGACGCUGAGGCACGAAGGCCAGGGGAGCAAACGGG
rnacentral:rRNA from 1 species